rnacentral:rRNA from 1 species
UACAGAGGUGCCAAGCGUUGUUCGGAAUUACUGGGCGUAAAGGGCUCGUAGGUGGCCAACUAAGUCAGACGUGAAAUCCCUCGGCUUAACCGGGGAACUGCGUCUGAUACUGGAUGGCUUGAGUUCGGGAGAGGGAUGCGGAAUUCCAGGUGUAGCGGUGAAAUGCGUAGAUAUCAGGAGGAACACCCGUGGCGAAGGCGGCUCUCUGGAUCGGCCCUGACGCUGAGGCGCGAAAGCGUGGGGAGCGAACGGG